CAUGCAAGUCGAGCGGAGUGAUGGUGCUUGCACCAUCACUUAGCGGCGAACGGGUGAGUAAUGCCUAGGAAUCUGCCCAUUAGCGGGGGACAACGUGUGGAAACGCACGCUAAUACCGCAUACGCCCUACGGGGGAAAGCAGGGGACUCUUUGAGCCUUGCACUAAUGGAUGAGCCUAGGUCAGAUUAGCUAGUUGGUGGGGUAAAGGCCUACCAAGGCGACGAUCUGUAGCGGGUCUGAGAGGAUGAUCCGCCACACUGGAACUGAGACACGGUCCAGACUCCUACGGGAGGCAGCAGUGGGGAAUAUUGGACAAUGGGCGCAAGCCUGAUCCAGCCAUGCCGCGUGUGUGAAGAAGGCCUUUUGGUUGUAAAGCACUUUAAGCGAGGAGGAGGCUUACCUGGUUAAUACCUGGGAUAAGUGGACGUUACUCGCAGAAUAAGCACCGGCUAACUCUGUGCCAGCAGCCGCGGUAAUACAGAGGGUGCGAGCGUUAAUCGGAAUUACUGGGCGUAAAGCGCGCGUAGGCGGUUUGUUAAGUCGGAUGUGAAAUCCCCGGGCUCAACCUGGGAAUUGCAUUCGAUACUGGCAAGCUAGAGUAUGGGAGAGGAAGGUAGAAUUCCAGGUGUAGCGGUGAAAUGCGUAGAGAUCUGGAGGAAUACCGAUGGCGAAGGCAGCCUUCUGGCCUAAUACUGACGCUGAGGUGCGAAAGCAUGGGGAGCAAACAGGAUUAGAUACCCUGGUAGUCCAUGCCGUAAACGAUGUCACUAGCCGUUGGGGAUUUGAUCCUUUAGUGGCGCAGCUAACGCGAUAGUGACGCUGGAGUACGGUCGCAGACUAACUCAAUGAUGACGGGGCCGCCAGCGUGGAGCAUGUGUAUCGAUGCACGCGAGACUACUGUCUGACUAUGAGAAUCU
rnacentral:rRNA from 1 species